CACGUAGGGGGCGAGCGUUGUCCGGAUUUAUUGGGCGUAAAGAGCUCGUAGGCGGCUCAGUAAGUCAGGUGUGAAAACUCCAGGCUCAACCUGGAGACGCCACUUGAUACUGCUGUGGCUAGAGUCCGGUAGGGGAGCAUGGAAUUCCUGGUGUAGCGGUGAAAUGCGCAGAUAUCAGGAGGAACACCAGUGGCGAAGGCGAUGCUCUGGGCCGGAACUGACGCUGAGGAGCGAAAGCGUGGGGAGCAAACAGG
rnacentral:rRNA from 1 species